GAUGAACGCUGGCGGCGUGCUUAACACAUGCAAGUCGAACGUGAGAGGUAGCAAUAUCUUGAAAGUGGCGCACGGGUGAGUAACACGUAGGUAACCUGCCUCGGAGUGGGGGAUAACAGUUAGAAAUGACUGCUAAUACCGCAUGAAUCCAUUAAGAUGGGAAUGUUGAUGGAGAAAACUCUGGUGCUUCGAGAGGGGCCUGCGGUCGAUUAGCUAGUUGGCGGGGUAACGCCCACCAAGGCGACGAUCGAUAGCUGGUCUGAGAGGACGAUCAGCCACACGGGAACUGAGACACGGUCCCGACUCCUACGGGGGCAGCAGUGAGGAAUAUUGGGCAAUGGGCGGAAGCCUGACCCAGCAACGCCGCGUGGAGGAAUGAAGGCCUUCGGGUUGUAAACGUCCCUUUGCAGGGAAGAGGAAGGA
rnacentral:rRNA from 1 species